CCUACGGGUGGCAGCAGUGAGGAAUAUUGGUCAAUGGACGCGAGUCUGAACCAGCCAAGUAGCGUGCAGGAUGACGGCCCUACGGGUUGUAAACUGCUUUUAUAAAGGGAUAAACUGAGGCACGUGUGCCUUUCUGUAUGUAUCUUAUGAAUAAGGAUCGGCUAACUCCGUGCCAGCAGCCGCGGUAAUACGGAGGAUUCGAGCGUUAUCCGGAUUUAUUGGGUUUAAAGGGAGCGUAGAGGGGUGGUUAAGUUAGUGGUGAAAGUUUGCGGCUCAACCGUGGAAUUGCAACUGAUACUGGUCGGCUAGAGUGUAGUUGCGGUAGGCGGAAUGCGUGGUGUAGCGGUGAAAUGCUUAGAGAUCAUGAAGAACUCCGAUUGCGAAGGCAGCUUACUAAGCUGCCACUGACGUUGAUGCUCGAAAGCGUGGGGAUCAAACAGGAUUAGAUACCCCAGUAGUC
rnacentral:rRNA from 1 species